GGAGUUAGCCGGUGCUUCUUCUGUGAGUGAUGUCCUUCCUGCCGGUUAUUGACCCGCAGGCCUUCUUCCUCACUGAAAGUGCUUUACAACCCGAAGGCCUUCUUCACACACGCGGCAUGGCUGGAUCAGGGUUGCCCCCAUUGUCCAAUAUUCCCCACUGCUGCCUCCCGUAGGAGUCUGGGCCGUGUCUCAGUCCCAGUGUGGCUGAUCAUCCUCUCAGACCAGCUACGGAUCGUCGCCUUGGUGAUCCGUUACCUCACCAACCAGCUAAUCCGACAUAGGCUCAUCCGAUAGCGCGAGGCCCGAAGGUCCCCCGCUUUCCCCCGUACGGGCGUAUGCGGUAUUAGCCUGGGUUUCCCCAGGUUAUCCCCCACUACCGGGCAGAUUCCUAUGCAUUACUCACCCGUCCGCCGCUCGCCACCAGGGAGCAAGCUCCCCGUGCUGCCGCUCGACUUGCAUGUGUUAGGCCUGCCGCCAGCGUUCAAUCUGAGCCAGGAUCAAACUACUGA
rnacentral:rRNA from 1 species